rnacentral:rRNA from 1 species
AAACUUUCAACAACGGAUCUCUUGGCUCUGGCAUCGAUGAAGAACGCAGCGAAAUGCGAUACGUAAUGCGAAUUGCAGAAUUCAGCGAGUCAUCGAAUCUUUGAACGCACAUUGCGCCCGCCAGCAUUCUGGCGGCAUGCCUGUCCGAGCGUCAUUU